AAAUUGAAGAGUUUGAUCAUGGCUCAGAUUGAACGCUGGCGGCAGGCCUAACACAUGCAAGUCGAGCGGAAACGAGUUAUCAGAACCUUAGGGGGACGAUAACGGCGUCGAGCGGCGGACGGGUGAGUAAUGCCUAGGAAAUUGCCCUGAUGUGGGGGAUAACCAUUGGAAACGAUGGCUAAUACCGCAUGAUGCCUACGGGCCAAAGAGGGGGACC
rnacentral:rRNA from 1 species